GCGGGAGUGGCGAAAUUGGUAGACGCCACCAGAUUUAGGUUCUGGCGCCCGCAAGGUGUGCGAGUUCAAGUCUCGCCUCCCGCACCA
rnacentral:tRNA from 1 species